UACGAAGGGGGCUAGCGUUGCUCGGAAUCACUGGGCGUAAAGGGUGCGUAGGCGGGUCUUUAAGUCCGGGGUGAAAUCCUGGAGCUCAACUCCAGAACUGCCUUUGAUACUGAGGAUCUUGAGUUCGGGAGAGGUGAGUGGAACUGCGAGUGUAGAGGUGAAAUUCGUAGAUAUUCGCAAGAACACCAGUGGCGAAGGCGGCUCACUGGCCCGAUACUGACGCUGAGGCACGAAAGCGUGGGGAGCAAACGGG
rnacentral:rRNA from 1 species